UACGUAGGGGGCAAGCGUUAUCCGGAUUUACUGGGCGUAAAGGGAGCGUAGGCGGCGUGGUAAGUCAGAUGUGAAAUCCCGGGGCUCAACCCCGGAACUGCAUCCGAUACUGCCAUGCUAGAGGAUUGGAGAGGUAGCUGGAAUUCUUGGUGUAGCAGUGAAAUGCGUAGAGAUCAAGAGGAACACUCGUGGCGAAAGCGAGCUACUGGACAAUUCCUGACGCUGAGGCUCGAAGGCUAGGGUAGCGAAAGGG
rnacentral:rRNA from 1 species